UACGUAGGGGGCAAGCGUUGUCCGGAAUUAUUGGGCGUAAAGAGCGCGUAGGCGGUCCGGUAAGUCGGCUGUGAAAGUCAAAGGCUCAACCUUUGAAAGCCGGUGGAUACUGGGUGGCUAGAGUACGGAAGAGGCGAGUGGAAUUCCUGGUGUAGCGGUGGAAUGCGCAGAUAUCAGGAGGAACACCAAUAGCGAAGGCAGCUCGCUGGGACGUUACUGACACUGAGGCGCGAAAGCGUGGGGAGCGAACAGG
rnacentral:rRNA from 1 species